GAUUAUAAUCGCAAAUAACUCCGCGAUACCCCCACCCGCCUCCCCUGCGCCCACGGACGGUCCCCCCACCACGUCCACCCCGCUCCGCUCGCCACCACCGCGUUCGCCGCUGCCGCACAUCAACGCGUCGAUGCCACCCGGGCACCCGGCCGAGAUAGCCUCCUUCCUCCCCCGAACCGCCACGUCCGCUUCCAAAGCCGUCGCCGUCUCCGCCUCCUCCCUGGUGCCCGCGCCCGCAAGAUCCCGCCGUUGUCGUCUCCGUCUCCUCCCCCUGCCCACAACUCGCAGGAUCCCACCGUCACCGUCUUUCUGGGAUUCAAUUCUGCUCUCAAUUUCUUAAUAUGUUCGGGCAUGUUUUGUUUCACCUGAUGCCUGUGCCUAGUUGAGCGAGUGCAUGGACCUAGACAUCACAGUGGAAUUCUGGUCCCUUCAGGCGCUGCGCAGUUUCUUCUCCUCCUACCAGACAUCUAGCACUGGACCUAAACUAGACGAGCACUUCGUCAUGAGCAACAACCACGCCGCGCGCGCACAAUAUUUUUUCCAGCAAAUGGAAGUAAAUUUUUUGUGUUGAUUCAGUCACCCAUUUGUUGUGUUUUCUCCAAAUACUCUAAGUUGGACUGAUUGAUUUCAGAUCUGUUUGUUUAAAGUUCAUCUAUUCCAGCUUUAUAACCUAGUUUGUAUAAACUCAUCUGGUCAACAAAAAGACCAAGUUAUAAUCCAGUCGCAAGCACCUACGCCCGCCCACCCGCAACGCUCAAUAUUCCUAUGCCUGCAGGCUGCAAAUGAAGAACGAUUACGUGAAGAGUUUGUGAGGGAAAGCAGAAAGCUUCCUCCAAAGCAGCAAUCACAAACAUGUGAUUCAAAUGUUAUUACUCCAAGGACUGAAUUUAUGGCUGUUUUAUCAGUUGCUUUGGAGUGUUACAUCCAUCUUAGAUUGAAUUAUGAUCAUGAAUGGAAACAAAACAAAGUUAUUUUAUCCGAUGCCAAUGUUCCUGGUGAACGGGAUCUGUCUGGUUUUAACCCAAAUCCAUUGCCUGUAUGGCCUGGACGUAUAUCUGAUCAUGCUAGCUUUGCAGACACAUGAAGUACGCUUCUCAAUACUGAGAGAGGUAUUUUAUACACCUGGACAACAGGAUAAAUGUUUCUUAUGUAUUUAGGUGGGACAUCUAGCAGCAAAAUGUGAAGGAAAGGUGAAAAUGAAAGCUGGGGAGUUUUGAUGAGAAGGCUGAUGCUAUUGUUCCCAAGAAGCCAUAUCAGGUUAUUUGUCUAUUGUACAACAUGUGGUAGUGUGUGUGUGUGUUGGGGGGGUUCGCGCCCUCACUCACGAUCAAUGACCCGACUCUUUCCCUCUCUUCCCCUCCUCUGCCACGAGCCCUAACCCACUUGAAGCACAACAUGAUCCAUGUGAGUUGUGCUUUGGCCUGCAUUAGGGAUCAGCAACUUCGCACGCGACGAAAUGAACCGCCACGACUGCGUUGGGAUCAACUUCGCACGCGGCGAUAUUAUUUCAGUGUCGUGUUUUUUACUUCACAUGAAAAUCUUAUUUUGUAGUAUAUAAAAUGUUAGGUUGUAGUAUAAAAAAUUAUACAGCAACAAACAAUCACAUAUCUAGUAAUUUAGUUGUCAUGUAUAGUAAAUUGUAAUUUUCAGCAGAUUACAGUUUUAAAUCAAUAAUAGAUACUAGGAAUGUUUAGUAGCAGAGAUUAUUAUUCAGGCAGUUUGCUGUCAUAGUUCCAUGUAGCUCAAUCUCAAAUUGUAGAGGUGAAACAUACAGCAGGGUUGCCUUGUAUCUAUAGAAAUGAACUUGCAGCAAUUAUGUAAGCAACGUAUCCCAAUGUACCCGCACGCAUAUCAGAAUGAAAGCCCAAUGUACCGUGGAAUGGCAGCAAAGAAAAAAAAUCCAGCAAUGGACCUUGUUGAGGAACAGAAA